CUGCCGCCUCCCUGCAACCAGACAUCCUGGCCACAGCUCCAGGCCCACAAGCUUGCUGCUCCUGAGGAGUGGUGGGGGCAAGGGGUGGAGGAAGGGUUCUUUAAAGCAAAGCUCAAAGUUCACCUCCUUGGGAAAGCCCUCCUUGGUUUCUCCAGGCAGAGUGGUUGCACUUCUUGCGGCUCCUGCCACUCCCAGACAAGCCCUUGCCUCAGCGACCCCCGUUCCACCUGUUGGUUUGCCUCUUGCCUGUGAGCAGCUCCAGGACUGGACCUUGGCCAGGUCAUCUUUGCAGCCCCCCAGCACAGUGUCCAGCCACAGGAGCACUCAGGAAACACUGAUGGAGCGUGUGGGCAAGACCCUCGCAGUGGGUCAGGAACCUCCACUGCGCACCCAGAAAGAGAAGACUGAUGCAAAACUGCAGUGGACCUUAGGCAAGCCACUCGCCAAUCCCUUUGAGAUCUGAUAUCCUGUGAAGAAUAAGGACUCCUCUGGCAAAAUUUAUUCUAGAAGGCCAUUUCUUUUCCUCCUAUGCCCAAGAAAGUAAAAGGACUUCCAAGAGGCAGGACAACAUCUGCUCCCACCCCCAGCCUUUCCUCUUCCCCUUGCACUCAUUUUUGUUUUGUUUUGUUUUGUUUUAUUACUCUCACCUAAUGAGCCUUUUUAUUCUGCCUGCCAUCUUUCGGCUCCCAAUUACUCCAGCCCGAUGUGUAGGAAAAUGGCUUCGGAGAGGAGGGGCCUUGCACAAGGCCUGUGAAAGAUCUGCAGGAGUUUCACAUCCAUCAAGAUCCGUGCUCCCGGUAUCCCAGUCAAGUUGGGUGAAUUCUCCCCUGAAAUUCUUCCAUCACUCCUGAAGCAAAGAGGCAAGCCUUGAUGAAACAAAAGGAGCCCAAGUUUUGAGAUCAGACAGACUUGGGUUUGAAUCUCAACACUAUCCCUUCCUGGCUGUGUGACUUUGGAUAAGACCCGUGAACUCCCUGAACCUGAGCUGCAACCGACCAGGAAGCCUGGGACUUGGUGGGAACCUGACAAAUCGGAACCUGACGACCGGAACUCCACCACCGGAACUCCACCACGGGAACUCUUUCAGAAGCGAGGGGUCCAUUGGUUAAAAAGAUCCAGGACUAACAUCCACCUCAGCAUACCUUACCAUAAAUGGUCAGCUUCGAAGCCCUCCAAUCAGACUCUGACAAGCCAACAUUCCUAAAUCCUUUCCCUUGCCCUCUGAUCCCUAAAACUUGCUGCAGACCCCAAACUGGGGAGACAGUUUGGGACCCUGUUCUCCUUGCUGUCUGGCUUUGCAAUAAAGCCUUUUUUUUCUCAAGCGC
rnacentral:lncRNA from 10 species